UACGUAGGAGGCAAGCGUUGUCCGGAAUCACUGGGUGUAAAGGGUGCGCAGGCGGGAGUGCAAGUCAGAGGUGAAAUGUCACGGCUUAACCGUGAACCUGCCUCUGAGACUGUACUUCUUGAGUCCGGAAGAGGGUGGUGGAAUUCCUGGUGUAGCGGUGAAAUGCGUAGAUAUCAGGAAGAACACCAGUGGCGAAGGCGGCCACCUGGUCCGGCACUGACGCUCAGGCACGAAAGCGUGGGGAUCAAAC
rnacentral:rRNA from 1 species